CACGUAGGGGGCGAGCGUUGUCCGGAUUUAUUGGGCGUAAAGAGCUCGUAGGCGGCUCGGUAAGUCAGGUGUGAAAACUCUAGGCUCAACCUGGAGACGCCACCCGAUACUGCCAUGGCUAGAGUCCGGUAGGGGACCACGGAAUUCCUGGUGUAGCGGUGAAAUGCGCAGAUAUCAGGAGGAACACCGGUGGCGAAGGCGGUGGUCUGGGCCGGAACUGACGCUGAGGAGCGAAAGCGUGGGGAGCGAACAGG
rnacentral:rRNA from 1 species